UNCCAGAAGUGUCUAGUGGCCUCAGC
rnacentral:piRNA from 1 species